GUCAGGAUGGCCGAGCGGUCUAAGGCGGCUACGUUUCAGGUCGUAGUCUACUCUGUAGGCGUGGGUUCGAAUCCCACUUCUGACA
rnacentral:tRNA from 1 species